CGGUUGUUUGCAGGUAGUUUGCCGCCAGACCUCUCCCCCACGUGCUGCUUGCCAUGCAGAAGGUCGUGGGUUCGAAUCCCAUCAGCCGCU
rnacentral:tRNA from 1 species